UAGCUGCCACUCCACUCAUUGGCAGCUAACGGUCAAAAUAAGGAGGAAUAAAACCCGCUGUGACUGGCGGUGCGGCAGUGUGGAGACCUGUCGUAAGGCGAUGCACCCUUUUAGGGGAUCGUGAGGCUGCUCCUUGCGGAGGCAGAGCAGUUACAGUCAAGAAACAAUGGCA
rnacentral:ncRNA from 1 species